rnacentral:rRNA from 1 species
GACGAACGCUGGCGGCGUGCCUAAUACAUGCAAGUAGAACGCUGAAGAGAGGAGCUUGCUCUUCUUGGAUGAGUUGCGAACGGGUGAGUAACGCGUAGGUAACCUGCCUUGUAGCGGGGGAUAACUAUUGGAAACGAUAGCUAAUACCGCAUAACAAUGGAUGACACAUGUCAUUUAUUUGAAAGGGGCAAUUGCUCCACUACAAGAUGGACCUGCGUUGUAUUAGCUAGUAGGUGAGGUAACGGCUCACCUAGGCGACGAUACAUAGCCGACCUGAGAGGGUGAUCGGCCACACUGGGACUGAGACACGGCCCAGACUCCUACGGGAGGCAGCAGUAGGGAAUCUUCGGCAAUGGGGGCAACCCUGACCGAGCAACGCCGCGUGAGUGAAGAAGGUUUUCGGAUCGUAAAGCUCUGUUGUAAGUCAAGAACGAGUGUGAGAGUGGAAAAUUCACACUGUGACGGUAGCUUACCAGAAAGGGACGGCUAACUACGUGCCAGCAGCCGCGGUAAUACGUAGGUCCCGAGCGUUGUCCGGAUUUAUUGGGCGUAAAGCGAGCGCAGGCGGUUUGAUAAGUCUGAAGUUAAAGGCUGUGGCUCAACCAUAGUUCGCUUUGGAAACUGUCAAACUUGAGUGCAGAAGGGGAGAGUGGAAUUCCAUGUGUAGCGGUGAAAUGCGUAGAUAUAUGGAGGAACACCGGUGGCGAAAGCGGCUCUCUGGUCUGUAACUGACGCUGAGGCUCGAAAGCGUGGGGAGCGAACAGGAUUAGAUACCCUGGUAGUCCACGCCGUAAACGAUGAGUGCUAGGUGUUGGAUCCUUUCCGGGAUUCAGUGCCGCAGCUAACGCAUUAAGCACUCCGCCUGGGGAGUACGACCGCAAGGUUGAAACUCAAAGGAAUUGACGGGGGCCCGCACAAGCGGUGAAGCAUGUGGUUUAAUUCGAAGCAACGCGAAGAACCUUACCAGGUCUUGACAUCCCGAUGCUAUUUCUAGAGAUAGAAAGUUACUUCGGUACAUCGGUGACAGGUGGUGCAUGGUUGUCGUCAGCUCGUGUCGUGAGAUGUUGGGUUAAGUCCCGCAACGAGCGCAACCCCUAUUGUUAGUUGCCAUCAUUCAGUUGGGCACUCUAGCGAGACUGCCGGUAAUAAACCGGAGGAAGGUGGGGAUGACGUCAAAUCAUCAUGCCCCUUAUGACCUGGGCUACACACGUGCUACAAUGGUUGGUACAACGAGUUGCGAGUCGGUGACGGCAAGCUAAUCUCUUAAAGCCAAUCUCAGUUCGGAUUGUAGGCUGCAACUCGCCUACAUGAAGUCGGAAUCGCUAGUAAUCGCGGAUCAGCACGCCGCGGUGAAUACGUUCCCGGGCCU